UACAGAGGGUGCAAGCGUUGUUCGGAAUUAUUGGGCGUAAAGGGCGCGUAGGCGGCCAGCACAAGUCAGUUGUGAAAUCUCCGGGCUUAACUCGGAAAGGUCAACUGAUACUGUGCGGCUAGAGUGCAGAAGGGGCAACUGGAAUUCUCGGUGUAGCGGUGAAAUGCGUAGAUAUCGAGAGGAACACCUGCGGCGAAGGCGGGUUGCUGGGCUGACACUGACGCUGAUGCGCGAAAGCCAGGGAGCGAACGGG
rnacentral:rRNA from 1 species